rnacentral:rRNA from 1 species
AGUGAAUAGAUACCCAGGUAGUCCACGCCCUAAACGAUGUCUACUAGUUGUUGGUGGAGUAAAUCCAUGAGUAAACGCAGCUAACGCGUGAAGUAGACCGCCUGGGGAGUACGGUCGCAAGAUUAAAACAUAAAGGAAUUGACGAGGACCCGCACAAGCGGUGGAGCGUGUUGUUUAAUUCGAUGGUAAGCGAAGAACCUUACCCAGGCUUGACAUCCUUGGAAUUUUGGCGAAAGCCGAGAGUGCCUUCGGGAACCAAGUGACAGGUGUUGCAUGGCCGUCGUCAGCUCGUGUCGUGAGAUGUUUGGUUAAGUCCAUCAACGAGCGCAACCCUUAUAGUUAGUUGAAUUUUUCUAGCUAGACUGCCCUGGCAACAGGGAGGAAGGAGGGGAUGAUGUCAGGUCAGUAUUACCCUUACGUCUGGGGCUACAAACACGCUACAAUGGCCGGUACAAAGGGCAGCCAAGUCGCGAGACGGAGCAAAUCCCAUCAAAGCCGGUCUAAGUUCGGAUAGCAGGCUGAAACUCGCCUGCUUGAAGCUGGAA